CCUACGGGAGGCAGCAGUAGGGAAUAUUGCUCAAUGGGGGAAACCCUGAAGCAGCAACGCCGCGUGGAGGAUGAAGGUUUUCGGAUUGUAAACUCCUUUUGUUAGAGAAGAUAAUGACGGUAUCUAACGAAUAAGCUCCGGCUAACUCCGUGCCAGCAGCCGCGGUAAUACGGAGGGUGCAAGCGUUACUCGGAAUCACUGGGCGUAAAGCGCGCGUAGGCGGGAUAGCAAGUCAGAUGUGAAAUCCUAUGGCUUAACCAUAGAACUGCAUUUGAAACUGUUAUUCUAGAGUAUGGGAGAGGUAGGUGGAAUUCUUGGUGUAGGGGUAAAAUCCGUAGAGAUCAAGAGGAAUACUCAUUGCGAAGGCGACCUGCUAGAACAUAACUGACGCUGAUGCACGAAAGCGUGGGGAGCAAACAGGAUUAGAUACCCUAGUAGUC
rnacentral:rRNA from 1 species